rnacentral:sRNA from 1 species
UGACAUGCAGGAAAAGAACAGAUACAAUGGUGAAACUUUGUGAGGUUUUUGAAUCUUUGAGACUCAAAAUUAUUACAGCGAAUGUCA